rnacentral:rRNA from 1 species
AGAGUUUGAUCCUGGCUCAGGACGAACGCUGGCGGCGUGCCUAACACAUGCAAGUCGAGCGAGAAUUUUAGAGCGGAGGUUUCGGCCGAAGCUUUAGAAGGAGAGCGGCGGACGGGUGAGUAACGCGUGAGUAACCUGCCCUAUGGAGGGGGACAACACAUGGAAACGUGUGCUAAUACCGCAUAACAUGUCACUAUCGCAUGGUAGAGACAUCAAAGAUUUAUCGCCAUAGGAUGGACUCGCG